rnacentral:misc_RNA from 1 species
CAACUUAUCAGUAUAAAUGGGUGGAUGCUUCAUGAUGUGUAUAUAUAUAUUGGCUGUAUUUAAUCAUAUCACUGCUUGAUCAGCUAAUCACCAAAAUGUGCAAAUUUUCCGUUUAGCUUCAUCUUUUUCAUUUGUAAUUUGCGAUAAUCAAAUUAGCAGCAAGGUUGGCAAACAUUAGCUGCAGGGAUUGUUCUAUUACUUACGGUAUCAACAGGGC